rnacentral:misc_RNA from 1 species
AAGUGGAAAGCUAAAGUUGAAAAGCUGAGUGAUUAAAAAGUCUCUGUAAGCAUUGGCUAUUUAUAAUCCGAUGAAUGAAUAUUGGAGAUAGAAAAAUUGCAUAUUAUCAGUUGUUUCUAAAUCUGACAGGGAUUUCACAUGGAGAAGUUCUUAUACGAUGGAGAAAUUCAAAGUCCGUAGGUUGCUAAAAUUGCCAUCUCAAUCCAAGCUUCAGGGGAGGUUUCACUCAAG